UACGGGGGGAGCAAGCGUUGUUCGGAUUUACUGGGCGUAAAGGGCGCGUAGGCGGCCAGCACAAGUCAUCUGUGAAAUCUCCGAGCUUAACUCGGAACGGUCAGGUGAUACUGAUCUGCUAGAGUGCGGAAGGGGCAAUCGGAAUUCUUGGUGUAGCGGUGAAAUGCGUAGAUAUCAAGAGGAACACCUGAGGUGAAGACGGGUUGCUGGGCCGACACUGACGCUGAGGCGCGAAAGCUAGGGGAGCGAACGGG
rnacentral:rRNA from 1 species